GUGCUCACUUCCGCAGCACAUAUACUAAAAUUGGAAAGAUACAGAGAAGAUUAGCGUGGUCCCUGUGCAAGGAUGACACGAAAAUUCGUGAAGCAUUCCAUAUUUUU
rnacentral:snRNA from 1 species